rnacentral:piRNA from 1 species
UCUUAUGUGGUCACUUGUCCACUGGUUC